ACUGAAGUAAAAUCUCAAAUUAUUUCCAAACACCAGAGCGAGGCCAGCGCAUGGUUCUGAUUUCCUCCUGGGUGCCAUUUUGAAGUCUUUCUCGGCAUACGGAGGCUGCAGGCCAGACUCCUCCAAACUAACCCACUCAGGAUCACUAAGGAGGAUUCUGAAUGAGCAGAAACCCUGAAAACCUGCAGCUGCUCCUCAGCAGAGCCGGUCUGAGUCCUGCUGGGGGAGGGAGCGGCUCAGCCGGGUCAGCCAAGGUGCCUGCUGGUACAAGCAGCAGGUCAGUCCAGAGCAGCAGAGCCAAAGUAAACCCUGCAGAGGUUCAGACUCGGUGCUCUGGCUGCAGCUCUCUGUGACUAAGCCCCCCCGGUCCCAGGGGAGGGUUCAGUGAAACAGACCAGUGAGUCUGAAAAGCUGCCACUGUGGAGCCUCCAUGUGAAGGGGAAGGGGCGUCUCAGUGAUCGAGGGGAAACUCUCAGGGAUUCUGUUACCUCAGACAAAAUGCUUUAUCUGGACCGAACACUGAGACUCUUCAGGACGCGGCUUUCAAAACCAAACCCUCAGGAAGACUCCUAAUGAAGGAAACCUCGUCCUAAAAACCACAGACGGGUUCGCCUCAGGGCUCAAACACACUUAAACCAUCUGAACUCUGGGUUCACUUCAGUCUCCCUCACACAGAAACAUGUUCGGAGCUGAGAAACUACAGAAUACUUGAUCUCAGCGUUAGUGUCAGGGCUUGUUUGUGUAUUUUUUGAUCAUACAAUUCCUCCCUGAAAAAUCAAGAAGCCUAUUCAGGGAAAGUUCUUGUUCGCCUCCUCGUUUCAGACAAGAAGAGAUCCAAAAGAAACUCAAAGACUGAAUAACAUUAAAGACAUUUUCUUCUGCUGUCAACAACUCACUUCUUCCUAAAUCUUUCUCCACAAACCUUUUAUCUGCCAUCGUAUUCGUUACCCGAUAAUCACACAAACAGGGUCAGCAGCAGACCUCUCCUUCAACACAAAAAUAAACAAUUGCCAUUCAUUUCAUAUUCAUAUAUUUACAAUGUGAGCAGUGUGAGAAUGGGUAUUUUCUAACUGUCACGUCUGUAAGGUAUACACUUUUAACUUUGAAGACAGAAGGAUAUCAUAGAAUGAGAUAUGUGAAUACUGUUAUUGGAGCUACUUUUAUUAAUCUGUCAUUCUAUGGUAUUUUUCUUUCUCCUUUCAAUUACUGGAGUUGGAGCCAGAGUACUUUUAUAACAUAUUUUGUCAGUUCUGAUUAUUUUGUGUGGUUUCAUGUUUAAGUGUUGUAACUGAAUGUCAUCAUCUUGCUGCAAAACAAAUCUACCAACAGGUAUAAAUAAAGUAAGCUAACUUAAAACUCA